CAGAGAGACAGUCCACCCUAGAAAAACUACAACACGAGAGGACACAUCACCAGUCCAGUUCAAAACCUCUUACCAAACGAAAAUGCAAGACAAAUCCUAAGUUUGUUGAAGAGGAGACCAGUGAUCAUGGACCAUCUAGCCCUAAAAAGCGGCAAACUGAUGGAAAUUUGGACAGGGAGAUUUUGGAAAAAAUUAAAUUACACCAUGGACCUCGAUUAUCUUCUGCCACAAAUUCAGUUGCUUCACCUACCUCACCAUCUUCUGCCUUGCCGCAUUCUCCACCACCGGUUUCUAACUGUCCACCAGCAUCACCCUCAGCUCCACCUUCACCUGCCUCAUCAUCACCUGGUUCACUUUCACCUACCUCACCUUCUCCUGAUCCUCGAUCCAUCGUUGCACAAUUAAAGGCAGAGAAUGAAGCCCUCAAAAUUGAAUUAGAAAACAUUAAAACAAAUGUUGUCAGUUAAAUGCCAAAACUUCUUAUGACGAUGGGCAAGCUGGAAAAAUGGCUUGACGAGAAAGAGCAGACCCCACAGGAACUGCUAUCACCUUCCAG
ensembl:lncRNA